CAUUAUGUGCUCUGUGGUGUGGCGGCGCCUAUCGGCAGCGACUCGACUACAGUCCGUCUGUCUUUUU